GAUAAAAUGGCUGAGUAUGAGGCAAUAAACUGUAAAUUUAUUUAGGAAUUAUUAUAAAAUUCUUUUAUCA
rnacentral:tRNA from 2 species